rnacentral:rRNA from 1 species
GCCUAGCUAUAAACUUUAAUAGAAAUUAACUUACUAUUCGCCAGAAUACUACAAGCAAAACGCUUGAAACUCAAAGGACUUGGCGGUGUCUCACAUCGUCCUAGAGGAGCCUGUCCUAUAAUCGAUACCCCACGAUAAACCUUACCAUUUUUGGCCACUCCAGCCUAUAUACCGCCGUCGCCAGCCUACCCCAUGAGGGCCCAUCAGUAGGCAAAAUUGUUUUCACACAAAAACGUCAGGUCAAGGUGUAGCUUAUAAAAUGGGAGAGAUGGGCUACAUUUUCUAAACUAGAAAACACGAACAAUACAAUGAAAUCUUGUAUUAGAAGGAGGAUUUAGCAGUAAAAUAAACAGAUAAAUUAUUUUAAACAAGCUCUGAGACGCGC